rnacentral:rRNA from 1 species
CAUGCAGUCGAACGAUGAAGCCCAGCUUGCUGGGUGGAUUAGUGGCGAACGGGUGAGUAACACGUGAGCAACCUGCCCCUGACUCUGGGAUAAGCGCUGGAAACGGCGUCUAAUACUGGAUACGAACAAGAAUCGCAUGGUUACUUGUUGGAAAGAUUUUUCGGUUGGGGAUGGGCUCGCGGCCUAUCAGCUUGUUGGUGAGGUAAUGGCUCACCAAGGCGUCGACGGGUAGCCGGCCUGAGAGGGUGACCGGCCACACUGGGACUGAGACACGGCCCAGACUCCUACGGGAGGCAGCAGUGGGGAAUAUUGCACAAUGGGCGCAAGCCUGAUGCAGCAACGCCGCGUGAGGGAUGACGGCCUUCGGGUUGUAAACCUCUUUUAGCAGGGAAGAAGCGAGAGUGACGGUACCUGCAGAAAAAGCACCGGCUAACUACGUGCCAGCAGCCGCGGUAAUACGUAGGGUGCAAGCGUUAUCCGGAAUUAUUGGGCGUAAAGAGCUCGUAGGCGGUUUGUCGCGUCUGCUGUGAAAUCUGGGGGCUCAACCCCCAGCCUGCAGUGGGUACGGGCAGACUAGAGUGCGGUAGGGGAGAUUGGAAUUCCUGGUGUAGCGGUGGAAUGCGCAGAUAUCAGGAGGAACACCGAUGGCGAAGGCAGAUCUCUGGGCCGUAACUGACGCUGAGGAGCGAAAGGGUGGGGAGCAAACAGGCUUAGAUACCCUGGUAGUCCACCCCGUAAACGUUGGGAACUAGUUGUGGGGUCCAUUCCACGGAUUCCGUGACGCAGCUAACGCAUUAAGUUCCCCGCCUGGGGAGUACGGCCGCAAGGCUAAAACUCAAAGGAAUUGACGGGGACCCGCACAAGCGGCGGAGCAUGCGGAUUAAUUCGAUGCAACGCGAAGAACCUUACCAAGGCUUGACAUAUACGAGAACG